rnacentral:rRNA from 1 species
GGCGAGUUUGAUCCUGGCUCAGAACGAACGCUGGCGGCAGGCCUCAAACAUGCAAGUCUAGGGGGUGUAGCAAUACACCACCGGCGGACGGGUGCGUAACGCGUGGGAAUGUACCUAUUGGUUCGGAACAACUGAGGGAAACUUCAGCUAAUACCGAAUGUGCCCUUACGGGGAAAGAUUUAUCGCCAAUGGAUCAGCCCGCGUUCGAUUAGCUAGUUGGUGGGGUAACGGCCCACCAAGGCGACGAUCGAUAGCUGUUCUGAGAGGAAGAUCAGCCACACUGGGACUGAGACACGGCCCAGACUCCUACGGGAGGCAGCAGUUGGGAAUCUUGGACAAUGGGGGAAACCCUGAUCCAGCCAUGCCGCGUGAGUGAUGAAGGCCUUCGGGUUGUAAAACUCUUUCGCGCACGACGAUAAUGACGGUAGUGCGAGAAGAAGCUCCGGCUAACUUCGUGCCAGCAGCCGCGGUAAUAAGUUCCCUGUGUGA